rnacentral:rRNA from 1 species
UAGGGAAUAUUAGUAAUGGGCGAAAGCCUGAACUAGCAACGCCGCGUGUGCGAAGAAGGCCUUCGGGUUGUAAAGCACUUUUUGAGAGGAUGAGGAAGGACGGUACUCUCAGAAUAAGUCUCGGCUAACUACGUGCCAGCAGCCGCGGUAACACGUAGGAGGCAAACGUUAUCCGGAUUUACUGGGCGUAAAGCGCGUGUAGGUGGUUUGGUAAGUAGGGCGUGAAAGCUCCUGGCUCAACUGGGAGAGGCCGUUCUAAACUGCCAAGCUAGAGGAUGGGAGAGGGAGGUGGAAUUCCGGGUGUAACGGUGGAAUGCGCAGAUAUCCGGAGGAACACCAGUGGCGAAAGCGGCCUCCUGGACCAUUCCUGACACUCAGACGCGAAAGCUAGGGUAGCAAACGG